rnacentral:rRNA from 1 species
UACGGAGGGAGCUAGCGUUGUUCGGAAUUACUGGGCGUAAAGGGCGCGUAGGCGGUACUUCAAGUCAGGCGUGAAAGCCCCGGGCUCAACCUGGGAACCGCGCUUGAGACUGGAGAACUAGAGUUCGGGAGAGGAUGGUGGAAUUCCCAGUGUAGAGGUGAAAUUCGUAGAUAUUGGGAAGAACACCGAUGGCGAAGGCAGCCAUCUGGACCGACACUGACGCUGAGGCGCGAAAGCUAGGGGAGCAAACGGG